GAGAAGGGUCCAGCUGCAGGCUUGGGCGUUCCCGUCAUGACACAAAAACGCCCAUCGGGCGUUCCCGUCAUGACACAAAAACGCCCAUCAGGCGUUCCUGUAGCGUUUCAUCGAUCAAUCAAGAAGAGUACCCUGGCACAUGCUUUGUCCAAUGGACCAUGGAAGGGACUUUACUUGGCUGACGAGUACGCAAUGUAUUCUACCCUCAAAAGCAAUAUGAUUUCAGUGAGGUGAGUUCUUUCAAAUCUCAAUCAGAUGUGUAGCAUGAAAUAUAAGGCUUUUAAUAAUUUAGUCAUCCUUACUGGAGGCUACAAUUAACAUGCAUCAUAGGUCAUACACAUUACUUUGUCUUCAGGUACUGCACUUACGGGAGGAGAUGGCUACAUCUU